UCCGUAGGCGGGCAAUUAAGUCAGAGGUGAAAUCCCACAGCUCAACUGUGGAACUGCCUUUGAUACUGGUUGUCUUGAGUUACAGUGAAGUAGAUAGAAUAUGUAGUGUAGCGGUGAAAUGCAUAGAUAUUACAUAGAAUACCGAUUGCGAAGGCAGUCUACUAACUGUAUACUGACGCUAAUGGACGAAAGCGUGGGGAGCGAACAGGAUUAGAUACCCUGGUAGUCCC
rnacentral:rRNA from 1 species